AAGGCUUUAAGUUAAUAAAACUAAUAACCUUCAAAGCUAUAAAUAAAGAAAUUUUCUUUAAGCCUUA
rnacentral:tRNA from 1 species